CCCUACUCCAUCUCCCAGUCCAACUGUGGUCAGUGAAGACCAGACUGGAUGCUGCAAGGAAUCAAGGUGAAAUAUCGCUCCUCCACAAAAGAACAAUUAGAAAAUGGGUGGAGAUGCAUCAAGAGAUCGAGCGGAUAAAGCUGAAAGAGACCUUCAGGAUACUAUGAAUGAAAAACAAAGAAUUAUGGAAGAAAAGAGAAAACGUGAAGAUGACUACAAGCAACUCCUUGCUGAGAAAGUUAGACUAGAAACAACACAGAAGAUGGAGGAACAAAAACGACGGGAGCAAGAGAAGCAGAGACAAAAAAUUAUUGAACACAACAGAGCACAAGAGAAAGCCGAAAGGAUAAGGAUUCAUCAAGAAAAGAAUAAUGCCAACAGUCCUAAAACUGUAGGAUGAAGAGACAAUGGUUUAAAUGUUUGAUUAUCCACAAAAGGAUUAUUGGAUACAGUACAUACAGCAAAGUACACAGUUAAUGGAUACAGUACAUACAGCACAGAACACAGUUAUUGGAUACAGUACAUACAGCACAGAACAGUUAUUGGAUACAGUACAUACAGCACAGUACAGUUAUUUGAUACAGCACAUACAGCACAGUACACAGUUACUGGAUACAGUACAUACAUCACAGUACACAGUUACUGGAUACAGUACAUACAUCACAGUACACAGUUAUUGGAUACAGUACAUACAGCACAGUACACAGUUAUUGGAUACAGUACAUACAGCACAGUACACAGUUAUUGGAAACUUUUAAUAUCCACACAUGCACUAGCUGUUUUAUUUUUCCAAAAUUAGUAUUGCAUAGUUUCAAUAACAAAGAAUAUAAACUGGUUUUAUAAUUGUUUACCUACAAAAAUGUAGUUAUUUCUUACAACAUAAGUCUGAUUUUGUCAUGUUUUAUAUGCCUUGAGUACUGUACUCUAG
ensembl:lncRNA